GUGGGGAAUCUUGCGCAAUGGGCGAAAGCCUGACGCAGCCAUGCCGCGUGAAUGAUGAAGGUCUUAGGAUUGUAAAAUUCUUUCACCGGGGACGAUAAUGACGGUACCCGGAGAAGAAGCUCCGGCUAACUUCGUGCCAGCAGCCGCGGUAAUACGAAGGGGGCUAGCGUUGCUCGGAAUUACUGGGCGUAAAGGGCGCGUAGGCGGACAGCUUAGUCAGAGGUGAAAGCCCAGGGCUCAACCUUGGAAUUGCCUUUGAUACUGGACAGCUAGAAUCCUGGAGAGGUGAGUGGAAUUCCGAGUGUAGAGGUGAAAUUCGUAGAUAUUCGGAAGAACACCAGUGGCGAAGGCGGCUCACUGGACAGGUAUUGACGCUGAGGUGCGAAAGCGUGGGGAGCAAACAGGAUUAGAAACCCGUGUAGUCC
rnacentral:rRNA from 1 species